CUAGUACUCCCUCCGUCCGGAAAAAUUUGUCAUUAAAAUUAAUAAAAAAAGAUGUAUUUAAAACUAAAAUACAGUAGAUAUAUUUUCUUUUAUUUAUUUCGAUGACAAGUAUUUUCGGACGGAGGGAGUACUAU
rfam:Triticum aestivum genome assembly, contig: Triticum_aestivum_CS42_TGACv1_scaffold_093611_2AL